CUGAAAUAUAUGAGUAAAUCAGAAUUUCCAGGAUCAUGUUACCAUACUGGUCAAGAUUGGAAGAUGGUCUGAGGACAAAAGACCCUGCAGGCACCAGCUAAAGGCCUUCAUCAAAGGGGUGGAGAGGCUCUAUCCAGAGGAGGGUGAAAAGGAGAGAAAGGGAUAUGGGUCCACAUCAUUUGAAAAUGCUGUAAAGUCUCUAAGAUACAUAUGCCCUAAAGAAAAAAAUACCAGAAUGUGUCCUCAUUUUAAUUCUACGAAAAUGAAUUUUUUCAGACUGUCAUGAGCAUCAAUGGUUGCAGGAUGAAAAGACAUUCACCAUAUUGAUGGCUGCAUACAUAGUUCUGAGGCUGUGUUAAUCUGCUCUAGCAAGAAGUAUGUCUGGCAAAGCCACCACAACUGAUGCUACUACUUGAUUGUAUCUGCAGUAGUCCAUGAUCAUCUGCCAGAAACCAUUUCAUUGUCAAGACUGGUGAACUAGGGGCACCUGAGUGGGUCAGUCGGUUAAGCGUCCGACCUCAGCUCAGGUCAC